rnacentral:tRNA from 1 species
CCUGGCGAAGGAGUUCGGCGUCCGGGUCGUCGCCGCCGACCUGUGGGUCAAGCCCACCGAGAACUGGGCGCGGAUCGACGCCGCGGGCCAGGCC